AAGAUUACAAGAAUGGUUGUAACAUACAAAAAUCUAAGGGGUUUUCAGUAUAGGACAAGCCAUAAAAUUUGUAAGAAAUUUUCAUGCCCAGAUAUAUGUGAGGAAGUAAGGUUGUUAAAAGAAGGAAGAAAUCUCUCUAGAAAUGAUAAAAGAGGCUUAGGGAUAAGAGUAUGCAAAACAUUUGCAUAUCAUGAACCCUAUGAAUUUGAGUGUCCGAGAUACCAAGAAGAAGAAAUCUCUUUAGAAGUGAUAAAAGAGGAUUAGGACUAGGAGCAGGGUUUGUCGUGCAACGGUAUACUGCCCAGUACGAGCAAUACAUACUAGUCCAAUAGGAGACUAGUACGCGAACCACCCUAUACCGGAUGGUAUAUGUUAAAUGACCUCGUGUCGUCCAAUACGGGAUCUGUACCAAUCAAAAGGGUCAAAAUCCGACCAUUGCCAACCUAUACCAAUCGGUAAUGAUAGGACUGCUACCGACAAAUGGCUCCGAUCUGACCCGUUCCAAUGGUCAAAUUCAUUUGAAAGGGUUUCUAAACCUUUUUCUCCUCUUUCACCCCCUUUCACUCUAGCAAACUCUCAUACUCUCUCAAUCUCUUUCUUACUCACUUUUUUUUGUCUCUCACAUUUGCACUCUCUUAAAACUUUACAAGGCUGCGGUUUGUAGUUUGGAUCAAGCUUGGAAGGCUAAUUAAAGAGGAUUAACACCUAAGUAAGGAAGAACUCUCUCAUUAAAGAUUUUUUUAUUUUUGAUGAUUUACCAUAUGAUUAAGCCUAUUCUAUGUUUUCAAUGCCUAACAUGUUGUUUAAGAUCUUUAUGAUGGUAUAAUAGUGUUAAUAAGGGAGUAAUUAAGGUUUGUACGAUUGUGAUUACUAUGUUUAAUGCUAAUUUUUUUGAAGUUAGUCACUUAAUGGGUCAAAUCUUUGUAUUUCAUGUAUAUUAAGAUGAUUUACAUAUUUGUGAUGGUAUAAUAGGUUUAAUUAGGUUUUCAUGAAGUUUUUUAAUGUUGUAAUUAGUGAUUUUAAUGA
rnacentral:lncRNA from 1 species